rnacentral:rRNA from 1 species
AACGAACGCUGGCGGCAGGCCUAACACAUGCAAGUCGAACGAGACCUUCGUGUCUAGUUGCUCACGCUUACGUAACGCGUGGGAACCUUCCCUUAGGUUCGUAAUAACUCCCCGAAAGGGGUGCUAAUACCGGAUAAUGUCGUCGUACCAAAGAGUUAUCGCCUUUUGAUGGGCCCGCGUUCAAUUAGCUAGUUGGUAGGGUAAAAGCAUACCAAGUCGACGUUCCAUAUCUGGUACGAGAGGAUGAUCAGCCACACUGGGACUGAGACACGGACCAGAGUGCUACGGGAGGCAGCAGUGGGGAAUAUUAGACAGUGGGCGAAAGUGUGAUACAGCAAUGCCGCGUGAGUGAUGAAGGUUUUAGGGUUGUAAAGCUAUUUUAACGGGGAUGAUAAUGACAGUACCGGGAGAAUAAGCUCCGGCUAACUCCGUG